CCUACGGGUGGCAGCAGUAGGGAAUCUUUCACAAUGGGCGAAAGCCUGAUGGAGCAACGCCGCGUGCAGGAUGAAGGCCUUCGGGUUGUAAACUGCUUUUAUAAGCGAGAAAUAUGAUGGUAACUUAUGAAUAAGGAUCGGCUAACUACGUGCCAGCAGCGGAGGUCAUACGUAGGAUCCGAGCAUUAUCCGGAGUGACUGGGUGUAAAGAGUUGCGUAGGUGGCAUAAUAAGUAGCUAGUGAAAUCUGGUGGCUCAACCAUUCAGACUAUUAGCUAAACUGUUAAGCUCGAGACCGUUAGGGGUAACUGGAAUUUCUAGUGUAGGAGUGAAAUCCGUAGAUAUUAGAAGGAACACCAAUAGCGUAGGCAGGUUGCUGGGACGGUUCUGACACUAAGGCACGAAAGCGUAGGGAGCAAACGGGAUUAGAUACCCGAGUAGUC
rnacentral:rRNA from 1 species